GCUUUGUGGUCUAGAAGCAUGAUUCUCCGUUCGGGUCGGAGAGGUCCCGGGUGCAAUUCCCGGCAGAGCCCCA
rnacentral:tRNA from 1 species